UCACCAUGUAAUAAAGACGGUUUACUUUGAUGCUUUUCUAAUUCCGCCACAAUUUGACGUCGC
rnacentral:sRNA from 1 species